GACGAACGCUGGCGGCGUGCUUAACACAUGCAAGUCGAACGAUGAAGCCUUAGCUUGCUUUGGUGGAUUAGUGGCGAACGGGUGAGUAACACGUGAGCAACGUGCCCAGGACUCUGGAAUAACCGCGGGAAACCGUGGCUAAUACCGGAUAGGUGCCGAGGCCGCAUGGUCUUCGGUUGGAAAGUUUUUGCGGUUCUGGAUCGGCUCACGGCCUAUCAGCUUGUUGGUGGGGUAAUGGCCUACCAAGGCGACGACGGGUAGCCGGCCUGAGAGGGUGAACGGCCACACUGGGACUGAGACACGGAGCAGACUCCUACGGGAGGCAGCAGUGGGGAAUAUUGCACAAUGGGCGCAAGCCUGAUGCAGCGACGCCGCGUGGGGGAUGACGGCCUUCGGGUUGUAAACCUCUUUUAGUAGGGAAGAAGCGCAAGUGACGGUACCUGCAGAAAAAGCACCGGCUAACUACGUG
rnacentral:rRNA from 1 species